rnacentral:rRNA from 1 species
CCUACGGGCGGCUGCAGUGAGGAAUAUUGGUCAAUGGACGGAAGUCUGAACCAGCCAUGCCGCGUGCAGGAAUACGGCUCUAUGAGUUGUAAACUGCUUUUGUACAAGGGUAAACCUGAAUACGUGUAUUCAGCUGAAAGGUCUGUACGAAUAAGGAUCGGCUAACUCCGUGCCAGCAGCCGCGGUAAUACGGAGGAUCCAAGCGUUAGCCGGAUUUAUUGGGUUUAAAGGGUACGUAGGCGGAUUGAUAAGUUAGAGGUGAAAUGUCCGAGCUUAACUCGGGAACUGCCUCUAAUACUGUUGAUCUAGAGAGUAGGUGAGGUAAGUGGAAUGCAUGGUGUAGCGGUGAAAUGCUUAGAGAUCAUACAGAACACCGAUUGCGAAGGCAGCUUACCAAUCUAUAUCUGACGUUGAGGCACGAAAGCGUGGGGAGCAAACAGGAUUAGAUACCCUUGUAGUC